rnacentral:rRNA from 1 species
CACGUAGGGCGCAAGCGUUGUCCGGAAUUAUUGGGCGUAAAGAGCUCGUAGGCGGUCUGUUGCGUCCGCUGUGAAAACUCGGGGCUUAACCCCGAGCCUGCAGUGGAUACGGGCAGACUAGAGGUAGGUAGGGGAGAAUGGAAUUCCCGGUGUGGCGGUGAAAUGCGCAGAUAUCGGGAGGAACACCGGUGGCGAAGGCGGCGACCUGGGUCGAGACUGACGCUGAGGCGCGAAAGCGUGGGGAGCAAACAGG